CUCCUCAAGAAUUAAUUUGAGGUAUAGCCUGCUCUAUGAAUUUAUUUAAAUGGCCGCGGUAUUCUGACCGUGCGAAGGUAGCAUAAUCAUUAGUCUUUUAAUUGAAGGCUGGUAUGAAUGGCUGGACGAGAAAAUUUCUGUCUCUGUUAUAAAUUUUGAAUUUGAUUUUUAAGUGAAAAAGCUUAAAUAUUUUUGGGGGACGAUAAGACCCUAUGGAUCUUUAUAAUGAUGAUUAAUAAAAAGUUUAGAAGUUACAGCUUUUUACUCUAAGUUAUUGGGUUGGGGCGACUGGAAGAAAAGAAUAUCUCUUCUUAAAAAUAAAUAUUAUUUAUAGAAUUAAAAAUGACCCUAAAUUUUGGUUUAGCAGAUCAAGUUACCCUAGGGAUAACAGCGUAAUCUUUUUGGAGAGUUCAUAUCGAUGAAAAGGUUUGCGACCUCGAUGUUGGAUUAAGAGAUCCUUGCGGCGCAGCAGUUGCGGAGGAAAGUCUGUUCGACUUUUAAAUUCUUACA
rnacentral:rRNA from 1 species